AACUUUUCAACUCCUCGAUUCGACUCUAAAAUUAAGCAAAUCUAAAAUAAAAUUAACAACAUAUACUUUUUCAUUUUCAAUUUCAAAUUAAGAAGAAAGAUUAUUGUAGAUUCUUCUUUGAUCAGUUUAGAUCUGAUUCGGAUCCUAUGGCUUGAAAUUCACGUAAUAUUUGUUUGCGGCCAUCUUCUUCACCAUCUUGUUGCCUCUCCG
rnacentral:lncRNA from 1 species